rnacentral:rRNA from 1 species
GACGGGUGAGUAAUGCCUAGGAAUCUGCCUGGUAGUGGGGGAUAACGUCCGGAAACGGGCGCUAAUACCGCAUACGUCCUGAGGGAGAAAGUGGGGGAUCUUCGGACCUCACGCUAUCAGAUGAGCCUAGGUCGGAUUAGCUAGUUGGUGGGGUAAAGGCCUACCAAGGCGACGAUCCGUAACUGGUCUGAGAGGAUGAUCAGUCACACUGGAACUGAGACACGGUCCAGACUCCUACGGGAGGCAGCAGUGGGGAAUAUUGGACAAUGGGCGAAAGCCUGAUCCAGCCAUGCCGCGUGUGUGAAGAAGGUCUUCGGAUUGUAAAGCACUUUAAGUUGGGAGGAAGGGCAGUAAGUUAAUACCUUGCUGUUUUGACGUUACCAACAGAAUAAGCACCGGCUAACUUCGUGCCAGCAGCCGCGGUAAUACGAAGGGUGCAAGCGUUAAUCGGAAUUACUGGGCGUAAAGCGCGCGUAGGUGGUUCAGCAAGUUGGAUGUGAAAUCCCCGGGCUCAACCUGGGAACUGCAUCCAAAACUACUGAGCUAGAGUACGGUAGAGGGUGGUGGAAUUUCCUGUGUAGCGGUGAAAUGCGUAGAUAUAGGAAGGAACACCAGUGGCGAAGGCGACCACCUGGACUGAUACUGACACUGAGGUGCGAAAGCGUGGGGAGCAAACAGGAUUAGAUACCCUGGUAGUCCACGCCGUAAACGAUGUCGACUAGCCGUUGGGAUCCUUGAGAUCUUAGUGGCGCAGCUAACGCGAUAAGUCGACCGCCUGGGGGAGUACGGCCGCAAAGGUUAAAACUCAAU